GAUAGAGAGCAAUUGCCUAAAUCAAUUAUCAAGGGUUAUAGUGAUAUGUUGUUGAACGUGAUGAAAAGGUAUGUAUAUUUGGUAGUUUUUAUAGAUUCUAAUUACAAUUUUCAAGCAAUCAAAUAUACUUAUUCAAAUCAGAACAAUAAAUACCGAAGGAAUAAAGGGGAUUUGUUACAUCACCUAUAGAUGAUUUAGGUAUUUAAUCAUCACCUUCAUCAGCCAUCGUACCAACAAUCAAAACCAUAUCCAUCAACAAAGGAAACCACCACCACUCUUAUCCAUCCAUCUUCCCUAACUAGCAGCCUUCACACCACACACCACUCACCUAUUUACCAUUGGACAAGUUACCGCCUCACACCACUCCCCCUCAUUCUGCCAUUAACCAUAACGCGUAACACCACUCACACUCAACAUCACCCUCACCACCACUCACACUAAACAUCCUUAUCAUAUCUCACUCUCAAGAGAAAGACCCUGAUUGAAUGGUAGGUGGCUAAAAAUAGUUAAAUCGACUUCAAAAAAGAUUAAAAUUGGCCAAUUUUAGUCUAAACUUCUGGUGUUGUCACUGAGAACUCUAUCUAUCUCUCACUCUCAAUGCAUCUAUACUUCUCUCUAUUUGCUAUGAGUUAAUGCCUUCUAGAUACCGCUUCCUUUUAUUUUGUUUAAACUGAAAGAUGGAAAAUUUGAAGGUGUUUUCCAAUGUAUUUUUAUCUUAGGUACCAUUUCGUAGGGUUUCUACCAUCCCAAGCCAACCACGAGCUCAAAUCAUCUAGGGUUUGUUUUUAUGACUAUUUCAAGUGUUGGAGCGGAAAUGAUUAUGUUUCAAACAAAUGGAUCAUGGUGCGAAAUGGGAUAACUGGAUAAGGAAGCUUCAUAUCCUUCUAAUCAUUUUAAUGAUCUUAAAGAGAUGUUUGUUUCAUCUCCUAAGGAAACAUGUGAACUCUCUAAAUAAAUCUUCUACAAAGUUGAAUAGUAAAUGUUCUUGAUUUAUUCUAGAGAUCUUUUUAUCUUUAUACAAUUUAAAUGCCUUGCUAAUGUUACAAAUAUUUUUGUUGUUAUUGGUAUACACUAGACUAAUUGAAAACAAGAAGAGACAGAAGCAAUGCUAGCCAAUAAGUUGGGGACCUCUGGAUGAU